rnacentral:lncRNA from 1 species
AACAAAGCCUCAACCACUUUCCUAUAUCUUGUGCUAUAUAUUACCAUACGUUUGACGGAUAGUUCAAGCAUCAAUAUUAUGGUAUAUCUGGAGGUGGAGGCAAUAUCUUAGCAUCUGAGCUCUUGCCAUUUUUAACAACGAACAGUUGUGCGGAGAUAUGAAAAUUUCGAGAAAUGGCUCUACAACAAUACAAUUCGAGCCAAAUAAGGUACAUGGCGUUUUUAGUAAAUUUGUUUAUCUUAUGUCCUGUCACUUAUGGACAAACUUAAAGAUGUAAAUUUUGUAUGUUGUAGGGGUUUGGACUAUGAAUUGUCAUUUUGAGCGUCACAAAUCUUGCGGACAGGGAAUCAUUUUCAUUGUUAAAAAUGACAAGAUCUCAUAUGCUAAAAUGUUGCCUCCGCUUCAAGAUAUGCCUUGGUGUUGAUACUGGACCAACAAUCAAAUCUAGUCUAUGGGAGAUGUUGGAAAUUAUUCGAAGAUCUCAUUUAAUUUGUUAUCUAUUUAAAUUUAUUAUUUAUGGACAUUUUAGUUUGUAAGAUCACCUUAUAGAAGUUCAUUUGUUGAAUAGCUAGCCUUUUCCCAUAAAUUAAUGUGUGCAAUUUUUUUUUUAGUAAAUUAGAUAGCUAAUCAAACAAAUUCAGAUUAACUACGG